AGUGAACGCUGGCGGUAGGCCUAACGCAUGCAAGUCGAACGGCAGCACAGUAAGAGCUUGCUCUUACGGGUGGCGAGUGGCGGACGGGUGAGGAAUACAUCGGAAUCUACUUUUUCGUGGGGGAUAACGUAGGGAAACUUACGCUAAUACCGCAUACGACCUACGGGUGAAAGCAGGGGAUCAUCGGACCUUGCGCGAUUGAAUGAGCCGAUGUCGGAUUAGCUAGUUGGCGGGGUAAAGGCCCACCAAGGCGACGAUCCGUAGCUGGUCUGAGAGGAUGAUCAGCCACACUGGAACUGAGACACGGUCCAGACUCCUACGGGAGGCAGCAGUGGGGAAUAUUGGACAAUGGGCGCAAGCCUGAUCCAGCCAUACCGCGUGGGUGAAGAAGGCCUUCGGGUUGUAAAGCCCUUUUGUUGGGAAAGAAAAGCAGCAGGUUAAUACCCCGCUGUUCUGACGGUACCCAAAGAAUAAGCACCGGCUAACUUCGUG
rnacentral:rRNA from 1 species